rnacentral:sRNA from 1 species
GUCGCGCCGGGGCCGCCGGGGCCACGGGGCUACCUCCUCCGCCGAGAGCGCUGCCGCUGCCGCUGUCGCCCGGGAGCAGGGGUCCGGGCGCCAUCAUGCUGAGCCGGCUCGGGGCGCUGCUGCAGGAAGCCGUGGGGGCGCGCGAGCCCAGCAUUGACCUGCUGCAGGCCUUCGUGGAGCACUGGAAGGGCAUCACGCACUACUACAUCGAGAGCACAGAUGAAAACACCCCCGCCAAGAAGACAGACAUUCCCUGGCGGCUGAAGCAGAUGCUGGACAUCCUGGUGUAUGAAGAGCAGCAGCAGGCGGCCGCGGGUGAGGCAGGGCCCUGCCUGGAGUACCUGCUGCAGCACAAGAUCCUGGAGACUCUCUGCACGCUGGGCAAGGCCGAGGUGGGAGGCCCUCUGCGCGCUGGGCCAGGCCGAGGUGGGCAGUGGGCAGCCUGGGGCUCCCUGGAUUCCAGGCCUUUCUGCCUGUGCUCUUCCCAGUCCUGACACUGAAAGUGGCAGUUGGGGGGAGAGGAGCAAACAGGACAGGCACUGUGGCUGUCUCACUUAGAACACUCCACCAUCCCAGCGCUCCUGUUCCCAGUUCACUCCACAAAGAUGGGCCUGCCAUGUGCCAGGCUCUGCUCUAGAUGCUGAGGACACAGCAGGGUUUCAGACUGACAAGAGCCAGGCAUGGUGGCGCGUGCCUGUAGCCCCAGCUACGUGGGAGGCCGAGGUAGGUGGAUUGCUUGAGCCCAGGAGAUGGAGGCUGCAGUGAACUGUGAUCGUGUGACCGCACUCCUGCCUAGGAGGCAGAGCAAGA